ACAGGGGAGCCCUCGGGCUGAGAGGGAGCGAACGCUCCGACCCUUUGACCUGAUGUGGGUAAUGCCACCGUAGGGACAUCG
rnacentral:ncRNA from 1 species